AGAAUCAACGCUGGCGGCGUGCCUAACACAUGCAAGUCGCACGAGAAAGUGGAGCAAUCCAUGAGUAAAGUGGCGCACGGGUGAGUAACACGUGAAUGAUCUACCUCCGAGUGGGAAUAACUGAGAGAAAUCUUAGCUAAUACCGCAUAAUACCCACGGGUCAAAGCAGCAAUGCGCUUGGAGAGGAGUUCGCGGCCGAUUAGUUAGUUGGCGGGGUAAUGGCCCACCAAGACGAUGAUCGGUA
rnacentral:rRNA from 1 species